rnacentral:lncRNA from 1 species
GGAGCAGUCCGCCGCCUCCCUCCGAGCGCAGGACGCUCCGACGCCCGCUUGCCCGCAGGCCACCGCAGCCUAAGGUGUGGGGAAGGCUCCCUCUCUGGAGGAGCAGGUCGGAAGACCUCGGUGCAAAAGCAGGGACCCCCUGGCUGACCCUGUUCUCCCUCUGCAAAAUAAAGGAACCCCACCGGUGCAGAACCGUGCCACUGCACCCAUAAGACAGCCCGAGGCUCCUGGCAGACCCUACUGGGAAUUACACAGCAAGAUGGCUUUCCCUACUCCAUCGUGGCUAGAGCCUCUGCAAGGGCUGAAGCCCUUUGAUCUUGGCUUCAUUUGGAUACAUUUCAAGGGUGAGCACUGACAAAGAGGACAAGCCAGACUGAAGUCAUAUGGCCUUACAGCUCUGCCUUCAAAGGCAUGUGGGCUCCCCUCCACCACAUUGCUGACCCCUCAUUACAGGAAGUGGGAGUGUAAACUCUACCUCUUCCUUAUGUCCUGUCGGAGGUGGAGCACAGAGCUCUGACUCCAUGCAUAACACACACUCUACCACUGAGAUACAUCCCAAGGCAAUUGACAUUGGAUUGUUGGUGUCUCAUUGUGUGAUGUUGACUUAGGACAUUAUAGGAUCUAUGCAAGCAUC